rnacentral:rRNA from 1 species
UACGAAGGGGGCUAGCGUUGCUCGGAAUUACUGGGCGUAAAGCGUGCGCAGGCGGUUUUGUAAGUCUGUCGUGAAAGCCCCGGGCUCAACCUGGGAAUUGCGAUGGAGACUGCAAGGCUUGAAUCUGGCAGAGGGGGGUAGAAUUCCACGUGUAGCAGGUGAAAUGCGUAGAGAUGUGGAGGAACACCGAUGGCGAAGGCAGCCCCCUGGGUCAAGAUUGACGCUCGAUGCACGAAAGCGUGGGGAGCAAACAGG